rnacentral:rRNA from 1 species
GAUGAACGCUGGCGGCGUGCCUAAUACAUGCAAGUCGAGCGAACAGACGAGGAGCUUGCUCCUUUGACGUUAGCGGCGGACGGGUGAGUAACACGUGGGUAACCUACCUAUAAGACUGGGAUAACUUCGGGAAACCGGAGCUAAUACCGGAAAUAUUUCGAACCGCAUGGUUCGAUAGUGAAAGAUGGCUUUGCUAUCACUUAUAGAUGGACCUGCGCCGUAUUAGCUAGUUGGUAAGGUAACGGCUUACCAAGGCAACGAUACGUAGCCGACCUGAGAGGGUGAUCGGCCACACUGGAACUGAGACACGGUCCAGACUCCUACGGGAGGCAGCAGUAGGGAAUCUUCCGCAAUGGGCGAAAGCCUGACGGAGCAACGCCGCGUGAGUGAUGAAGGUCUUCGGAUCGUAAAACUCUGUUAUUAGGGAAGAAGAAACGUGUAAGUAACUGUGCACGUCUUGACGGUACCUAAUCAGAAAGCCACGGCUAACUACGUG